GAUGAACGCUAGCGGGAGGCUUAAUACAUGCAAGUCGAGGGGCAGCGUGGAACUUCGGUUCUGACGGCGACCGGCGCACGGGUGAGUAACGCGUACAUAACCUACCUAUCACAGAAGGACAGCCCUGGGAAACUGGGAUUAAUACUUCAUGGUCUUUAGGAAUCGCAUGAUUUCUUUAGUAAAGUUUCGGCGGUGAUAGAUGGAUGUGCGUACUAUUAGGUAGUUGGUAAGGUAACGGCUUACCAAGCCUGCGAUAGUUAGGGGGCGUGAGAGCGUGAUCCCCCACACGGGUACUGAGACACGGACCCG
rnacentral:rRNA from 1 species